rnacentral:lncRNA from 1 species
ACCCCAUAGGACCCCACUAGACCCCAUAGGACCCCAAUAGACCCCAUAGGACCCCAAUAGACCCCAUAGGACCCCAAUAGACCCCAUAGGACCCCAAUAGACCCCAUAGGACCCCAAUAGACCCCAAUAGACCCCAUAGGACCCCAAUAGACCCCAUAGGACCCACGAGGAACAUGUUUAGGGUCCUGCCCAUGACGUCCCCAUAGAGUUUCAUGGCGUCCCCAAUAGACCCCAUAGGACCCCAAUAGACCCCAUAGGACCCCAAUAGACCCCAAUAGACCCCAUAGGACCCCAA